AGGUCUUUCAAUUAACUAAAAACUUUGUAAACAGUAGGACUUCUAAUUCAAACGUUUUAUAAGUCAAAUUCUAGGCUAAAGUUGCUGUACAGUAAGAGUAAUAAAUAUAUUGAGUUUAUCGGUGGACUAAGGGUUUCGUUAAAUGUUAUAGGGCCUAGAAGGUAUCGUAGGAGUUAAUUACAGCGGAGUUGAGAUAAGUAAGCCUGUAAGCUUUCGGUGACAAGUUGAGUCUGGGCAGCAUGGGGUGUAUCUCGUGUGAUCAUGUAACUGCGUGUGGUCUUGGCCAUCUUCCGCUGAAAGUUUUUUUUUAAUUUAUUAAACUUAUCGAGGAUGUUGUCGUUUAAAUUUUCUAUUACUUUUCCCUAAGUGGUAAUACUUUAUUUUCAACUGGGUACCCAUGUUUUGAAAAUUGUUAUUUUUUUAAUAAAGGCAACAUUAGUAUCUUAA